rnacentral:rRNA from 1 species
GACGAACGCUGGCGGCGUGCUUAACACAUGCAAGUCGUACGGUAAGGCCCUUUCGGGGGUACACGAGUGGCGAACGGGUGAGUAACACGUGAGUAACCUGCCCACAACUUUGGGAUAACGCUAGGAAACUGGUGCUAAUACUGGAUAUGUGCUCCUGCUGCAUGGUGGGGGUUGGAAAGCUCCGGCGGUUGUGGAUGGACUCGCGGCCUAUCAGCUUGUUGGUGGGGUAGUGGCCUACCAAGGCGGCGACGGGUAGCCGGCCUGAGAGGGUGACCGGCCACAUUGGGGCUGAGAGACGGCCCAGACUCCUACGGGAGGAAGAAGUGGGGAAGAUUGCACAAUGGGCGCAAGCCUGAUGCAGCAACGCCGCGGGCGGGAUGACGGCCUUCGGGUUGUAAAACGCUUUCAGCAGGGACGAAGCUUUUUGUGACGGUACCUGCAGAAGAAGCACCGGCUAACUACGUG